UAGGAGUUAGCUCAGUUGGUAGAGCGGUCGGGUUAUGACCGGCGUGUCACGGGUUCGAAUCCUGUACUCCUAUUA
rnacentral:tRNA from 1 species